UCGUUUUACCUGGUUUAAAUAGCUUCUCCGUCCAGGGCAAAAAGCAAAUGCAGUAUUGACUUUAUUCUUUCUUUGCCUUAUUCUUUUUUGCCGAUAACUAGUCAUCUAAUAUGCCAUUUAAGUGACUUAUCUUGUUAAUUUUCUCCCUUCAAUUAAAACGUAGUCUCCUUCAAGCUUCUUCAUUCAUUAAGCAAGGAUACAGUGAGCUCCAGUUAUGUGCGUGGCUGUCUUUUGAAUUCUAGAAAUACAAAGAUGAACAAGGCAGAAGCCUGACAGCAAAGAGCCCCAAUGGUCCUAUGAUAGCUGUAAGAAUGCUACAAACAGUCUGCAAUGAGACAAAGCUUCCAUAAAGGAUGAAGUUAGUCCUGGGCAUAAUAUCAGAGGUGUUUACAGAAUCAUUUAAAAAAUUUUUCAAAACAUGAGUUAUUAAGCUGGAAACGUUGAAAAAGAACUCCUCCAAGCCUCUGUGAGCAGCCAGCCAAACUAAAAUUUGUAAAACUUGGCUGAAGCUUUUGGCCACUACUCAGAAUGUAGAUAAGAGCAUCUCCGGGGUGCCAAAAGAUAUUUUCCUGUAGUGAUGGAGCUCAGGCUUUGGAGACAUCUUUGACACUGGAGGCAGGUGGAGAUUCCAAACUGACCCACUAUGUCUGGAGUUGCUAAUAACAUGCUGGAUGGAGACCAGGCUCCACAAGUCACCCUCUGGAAGGAGGGAAAGCCACAUGCUGAUCCAGAAAGAUGAACUGCUCUUUGCUGUUGCCCUGAAUAGCCUGACCCCAGGGAUGGAACUUGAUAAGUGAAAUUUAGAAGAUUUGGCCAGGGCUCAUUGUUUGAUACCCAGGAGGUGAUUUGCUGACUGAAGCAAAAGCUGUAAUUGUACCAAACAGAGCAUCCCUCCACUUGCUGGAGUUUUGAGCCUGCUCUUUACCCAUCAGAAGCAGCAAGCCUGCUAGGAGCCAGGGCUUCCUCCAAAGUAAGGAGCUCUGCCUUGCAUCUCUUUUGUUAGCUUUAUGCCUAAUUUCUUUGAAAGUUUUUGUUUUGUUUUGUUUUGUUUUUUAAUGGCCACACCUACAGCAUAUGGAAGUUCUUGGGCCAGGGAUUGAAUCCCAGCAGCAGCUGGGACCUAGACUACAGGUGUGGCAAGGGACAAAUGUCGGAUCCUUUAACCCGCUGUGCCUGCAAGGAGAAUGGAAGCUGUGCUGCCACAGCGACCUGAGCUGCUGUGGUGGGAUUCUAAACCCACUAUGCCACAGCAGGAAUUCCCUAAUUUCUUUUAAAGUUUUUGAUGCUCUUAUAAAGAUAUCUUUUGUGUCUAUAACUUUUUCCCUUUAUUAAUGUAAUCAGAUUUGUUUUGUUCAUGAAUUGGAAUGUGCAGAGACAAAAUAACAUAAAGUACAAGCUCUAGAGCUAGUCUGCCUGAGGUUUGAAUCCUGACUUGUCCUAUUCUAGCUGUAUGACUCUGAGCAGGUUAAUUACUCUGACUCUGUUAAGGUGGUAAUAAUAAUAAUACUUAUUUAGGGAUUGUUGUAAGAUUUUUUUGUCAGAAUUAUAAUAUGUAAGUGUAUGUGAAAGCUUUUUGCACUGUGCCAAAUGUAUAGUGAAUAUCAAUAUGUGCAAUUAUUGUUUUGCUGAUCCUGUGUAUAGCAACAUUGCUAAACUCUUAUUAACUCUAUAAGAGUUUAUCUGCAGAUGCUAAUAGUUUUCUUAAAUGUCCUGUCUACAGUUAGGGAAAACAUUUUUUUCUUUCCAUUCUUUAGUCCUCUUACUUAAUUUUCUUGGUUUUGUUGUACUAGCUAAACUAGCACUAGCUAAUAGAACUUUCUACAAUGAUGGAAAUAUUCAGUAGCUGGGUUGUCCAGUAUGGUUGCCAUAUAUGACUGUUUAGCACUUGAAGUAUGGCUAGUGAGACACGGGAAUUGAAUUUUUAAUUAAAUUUGAAAAACCACCUGUGGCUAGUGGCAACCAUAUCAAAUAGCUGAAGGCCAGACCCUCUGCUACAGUGUAGAGGAAUGGUUAUAAUAGGGGACCUCUUUGCCUUCACAAGGCACUCCUCUGAGUUCACCAGUAAGUAUGAUAUUUGCUGUAUACUGAAAAAUGCCCUUUAUUCCUAGUUUACUGAGAGUUUUACCAAGAAUUAUCAUUGAAUGCAUAAAAGCAUUUCUGCAUCUAUUCAAAGGAUUGUAGGGUUUUUCUCCUUUACUUUUAUGGUGUGGUGAAUUACACUGAUAGAUUUUUAUCUGAUGUUAAACCACUCUUGUGUUUCUGGGAUGAAUCCUCCUUAAUCGUGAUGCAUUUUUAAAAUACACUGCUGUACUUGAUAAUAUUUUGUUUAGGAUCUUUGCAUCUAUGGUCAUUAGUAAUAUGAAUCUAAAAUAUUCAGUAUUUUGAAUAUUGUCUUUGGGUGUACACAUUGCAUCAGGACAUGCAUUGGGAGUCUUCCCACUUUUUCUGUUCUCUGCAACCGUGUUUAUAAAGGGGAGGGAGGCUUCUCUGUUCUUUGAAAGUUGGGAAAAUUUCUCAUGAAACUGGCUGAACCUGCCCUGGUGGAGAAGAGGACAGGUUUUUCAGAUUUCAAAUUUAAUUCCAUGAUUAUUGGUUUUCUUAUUUUUUCUUGAGCUGUUUUUGUUAAGUGAGGUGUUUUUAUACUUUUCCAUUUCCUCUAGUUUUCAAAGCAGUGCAGUGUUGACCCUAGGCUAAUCUUGCUGGGGUCGGGGUGGGCUUAUGUAGGGAAUGGGUCCCCCCCUUAACACCAGCACCUUGCUUCGAAUCUCUGUGGACACAAGAUAAUGUUGCUACUAUCUUUCUCACACCUCUAAGAACAGCCCCUACCUCUGGCCUACUUUAUACCGACUUUAUUCUAAAGAAAACUCAGGAAGGUCCCGUGGUGAAGGAAAGGCCGGAUUGUGGGUUCUCUAAUUUUACUUCCCAGUUUUUCCACUACUUCUUGAUAAAGAGGCAGUUUAGGUUCUUGGAUUUGCAAAUCCAGUUUGGAGGCCGGUCUCCUUCCCUGAUCUACCUUCUGCCUGGGAAAUCUACGUUCAACCUCACCAAAGUGCACUCCGCAAAGGCAGCUCUCGAGCAGCCCCAAAUAAUUUCUGCGCCAAGAAAGUGGAUUCCCCAUCCCAAGGCCGGUAGUGGUCCUGCCUCUCCCCAAGGAGGGCUAACUGUGUGGUGCCUCGGGCAGGUGGACCGAAAGCGACAUCGAGCGGGUUUGGGGAGCCACGAGCAACAACUACCUUUCGCGCAGGCCAGCCUGCCUGCUGGUUUCGAUUCAAUCACCCUUGGCCUAUAUGUCGAAUCUCACGAGCGGCGACCAGGUGAGUCCUGGGCUCCCACAAGUUCAAGAACCCACCGGCGCGGAUAGGACCUUGUACUUCAGGAAGGACCUUCCCUAGAGGCGCCCAACUCCCGAGGGCGGCUGGAGAGAGCCCGGGGGUCCCAGCGUCCCGCGCGCGCGCUAGGAUUUCAAAUCCCGCCUUCCGCAGGAAACUGGUGUGGGUGAGGCAGUUCCGUGGCCUUGGGCGGAGGAAUCUUUCUGCGAAGCAGGCGAUGCUGGCUCAGCACCACAGCAACUGUCUCUGUGAAGCCAAGCGAAGAUUUCAGAGCUGGUCCCUGCCGCGGUGUCACCGCAGCAGACAGCCUCGGCGCACUGCAUCGCCUGGACGGCUGGUGUCUGUUCGACCGCCACCAGGGGGUGAUACGCCCUCACCCUUCCUCCAGGAUGCAGCCACUGACGGAGAGGACAGUGGGUCUCAGGCAUCCCAAACCCGGAGUCUCAGCUCAGGGUGUCACCUAAGCCAGGCUCAUUCCUUCUGCAGAUUACAAGGCAGCCCUGGGAAGUCCUGGCUUUUGGACUUACACACCUUGGCCCUCCAAAGGUGGGAGUUCUCAGGCCAUCCAAAAAUGUUGGAGGGCAAUCCCCUUUGGGGCGUUCGAGCUUAAUUGAUGGACAGUGACUGUGGCCUUUAGGCCACCAUAAGGUUCCUGGCAGAGAUGGGCUCAAAAUCACUGCCAGAUUCUAGACAAGGCUGUCACUGACAAAAACAGAUUGAUGAAUCGCCAAUUUGAGGGGGGAAUCUGAGAGCUGAGGACCAAAGGGAUCUUACAGCAGUGGUGAUGGCCGGGGUGUACAGGGAAACCCCGCCGCCGCCGCCCCCGCCGCCCCCGCCCCGAGGUUACCCAAGCCUGAGAGCUUGAGCCCAGAAGAACAGAGAGAGCAGAACGUUCAUUGUGAGAUCUUUCUCAUCAGGUCAAUAAUGAUAGAUGUCCUUGACUGGCUGCCUACUAGGAGCCAGCUGGAACUACUACAUAACCUCCUUUAGUCCAAACCAGAACCCAGUGAAGUUUGAACUGCUGCUGUCCUUGUGCUGUGGGUGAGGGAACUGAGGCUCAGGAAACUUAGGUUACACCGGAAGUGGCAAAGUUAAGACUGAAACCCAGGUCUGACUGACGCCUAGUCCUCGUGUUUAUUCCCUUUGCCAUAAUAACCGUAAUAAUCAAAGUUAACUCCACUGAGCAUUUAAUAUCUGCCAAACAGUGCGUGAAAUGUUUUUGUAAUGCCUUAUUUAUCCUCAUAACAACCCUGUUAUUAUCACAGUGCCUCAUACAGGUGUCCCUCACUUUUCAAAAGUUUGCUUCACAUUUACAGAUUUGCCAUCAGUACCCGUUUUCACUAACAAAGAAAUUGGAAGAGGAAUUUCACCUUGAUGCCAUAAAUCAACAGCAUUCAGCGUUUGUCUUGCGGAAGCCCUUAUAGAGGCAGCACACUCCCCAAACUGCAAGAGUGGCAUCACCAAACUUUUUCCCUAGGAACUUUACUCAGUAUCUCAGCAUCAAGCCACCAAGCUUUGAACUGUGUCUGGGAGCAUCUGUGCUUUAUCUUGAUUUGUUUUGUGCAUCCGUUAGCAAGAUGUGUCCUAAGGUAAUUGCUUUUCCCUUUACACCAGUUCAGCUUACAACAUGUUUCAUGGGAAUGCUCUGCUGUCAGAAGUGGGAGGAAACCUGUAUUUAUAUACAUCUUGUAGUUAUCAUAGUACUCUAUUUAAUCCUCAUCACAACCCUACAAAGUAGGUAUUAUUAUCAUCACUCUCAUUUUUUUGGUAAAUAAAUUAUACUUUAAUUUUAAAAAUAACAGGCAAGUAUUACUGAUAAAUAUAGAUGCAAAAGUUAUCAAUGAAAUACUAGCAAACCAAAUUCAACAGUAUAGUGACAGGUUCAUACACCAGGAUCAAAUGGAAUUUAUCCCUGGAAUGCAAGGAUAAUAUAUCUUAUGUAAACCAAAUAUGCAAUGUACCACAUUAAUAGAAUGAAAUAUGAAAAUCAUAUGAUAACCCCAGUAGAUGCAGAAGGAAUUUAUGAAAUAAUUAAAACAUCCUUCCAUGAUUAAAUAAAAAAAACUCAACAAAUUUCUGUACAAAGGACAUUCCUCAACACAAUAAAGGUCAUACUGAAAAAAUUCACAGCAAACAUCCUAUUCAAUGGUAUUAGCACUCAUUUUAUAGGGAGGUAAACUAAGACAUAGAGGACCAAGAAAUUUUCCCUCAGUUACACAGCUAAUAACCAGAAAAGUUAGAUUUGAACCCAGGCAGUCCCACCCCAGGGCUCAUCACUAGCUACCAUGUUUUCUUGCUCAUUCUGUUAUAGGCGCUCCACCCCACCUCUUCUCAAGAAUUUCAUCUGAGGCAAGCUGAGAAGGUGUGAAAACUCCUCAAUGCCCUCUAACCAGUGUGGCUGAUGUCAUCCUUUCAGUCAUCUGCGUUAUAUAUUAUGCUAUGACUUGGUGCAGCCCCACAAUUCCUGUACACCGUGGGGAUGGAGCUCAUGCAGGCCCUAUAUUCCCAUUAUGAGGGACCCUCUGCCGAAUACACUGGCCUCUUAUCCAGUGCAUAUCAGCUAGGUUAGGAGAUUUAGGCAGAAAAAUCUUUUUCUUUCUUUUCUUUCCUUUUAUUUUUUAAGCACGAAUGUCUGUCUGGGUUUAUUGCCUCCCCCAGUUACCAGGUGUAUAGAAGAGUCCAAAUCUAGGCAAUAAAUAUCUGAAAAUAUCUGAAUUGUUGACUCAAGUUCAAGAAGAUGAGGUAGGUCACACCCACGUGGAAGUAAGACUACUGCCAUUUUGAUGAGGUGUUUGAAAUGGAUUUUGUGAGGUUGUAUCUGUAUGGUAGAGCCUGAUCCAGUUGGCUUUACUCUUACUGUUUCCCAGCAGGGUUCUUAAGGUUUAGUAUGUAAAGAGAA